ACCUGGCAAAAAUCUCCAGCCCUGCAGAGACUGAGUGGUGCAUUGAGUCCCUGAUUGCUGUUUUCCAGAAGGAUCCUGGAGAGGAUGGUUACAACUGCUCUCUCCAAGACGGAGUUCCUAAGCUUCAUGAACACAGAAGAGGCUGCCGUCACAAAGAAGCAGAAGGACCGCAGUGUCCUUGACUGCAUGACGAAAAGACUGGAUGUCAACAGUAACAGGCAGCUAGAUUUCCAAGAAUUUCUUAAUUCAAAAUUGGCAGCCUGGCUGUGCAUUGCCAUGACUCCCUCCUCAAGGCUAUCCCACCCUACAAGCAGACCUGA
rnacentral:lncRNA from 1 species